CAGGUGCUGGCUGGGUCUUUCCUUGUAGAGAAAGGGAUUCUCUGCUGUAUGCCCUGACUGGGAGGGUAGGUCCAACAUGAGAAAUGUCCCCUGGGAGAAUCUAAAAAUCAUCACCUUAGCAGAAGAGCAUCUUGCUGCCACUCUACUCUGUGCUGGCUUGUUUCUUCGUUUUGCAGGAAGACCUCAGCACCUGAAGGUCCUGAUAGCAAUUUCAAGCCCUCAUUGA
rnacentral:lncRNA from 1 species